rnacentral:ncRNA from 1 species
AUUAAUCCUGUGAAAAAGAAGAAGUGAGUUAUUCUAUUUUAGAGAGAAACUGUUGGGUGGAAAGUUUUAUAGAAUACUGACUAGUGACACUUUGGAGGAAUCAAGUGAUGAAGCUUGAUCGUUGGUCUCGUUACGACUUGAGUGUUCAAGAAUGAUUCUUGAAAAGUAAGGUGGUACCGCGUUUAUGACGUCCUUAUA